AUGAGUAAGCAUUUUCGCAUGAUUAAAGGUUUACCGGUGUAAGAUGGGGAUGCGUUCCAUUAGAUAGUAGGCGGGGUAACGGCCCACCUAGUCUUCGAUGGAUAGGGGUUCUGAGAGGAAGGUCCCCCACAUUGGAACUGAGACACGGUCCAAACUCCUACGGGAGGCAGCAGUGAGGAAUAUUGGUCAAUGGACGAGAGUCUGAACCAGCCAAGUAGCGUGAAGGAUGAAGGUUCUAUGGAUUGUAAACUUCUUUUAUACGGGAAUAAACGGAUCCACGUGUGGAUUUUUGCAUGUACCGUAUGAAUAAGGAUCGGCUAACUCCGUGCCAGCAGCCGCGGUAAUACGGAGGAUCCGAGCGUUAUCCGGAUUUAUUGGGUUUAAAGGGAGCGUAGAUGGGUUGUUAAGUCAGUUGUGAAAGUUUGCGGCUCAACCGUAAAAUUGCAAUUGAUACUGGCAGUCUUGAGUACAGUUGAGGUAGGCGGAAUUCGUGGUGUAGCGGUGAAAUGCUUAGAUAUCACGAAGAACUCCGAUUGCGAAGGCAGCUUACUAACCUGUAACUGA
rnacentral:rRNA from 1 species